rnacentral:tRNA from 2 species
GAAGAGGCAGCCGUUGAGGCAGUGGAUUGUAGCUCUAAAGGUGAAGUAGUUUUCCCUCUUUA